UAAGCCAACAUCUUCAUUUUGUUUAUUUUUGUUGUUUUGCUUAAUGUCAUUUUUAUAUAAAUAGGCCCUUCUGGCCAUUGUUUAUUCCCUUUUUUGUUAGAACCCAAAAAUAAGUAAGUCGUGUUAAUUUUUAUUGUUUUUAAAUUAAAUAUUUUUAUUUUUUUUGUAAACUUAAUUUUUUUUAAAUUUUUAAAAUUCUUACAGAGAAUAAACAACGACAACUAAACUCACUAUUUGUAAACAAACAAACCAAAUAAACGCAGCUUUUUAUUUUGCCGAAAUCCUGCCAGUCUUGUCAUUUGGGAGCCAGCCGAGUUUAGGUUUAUUCCUGGAAAAUAACAAAAAAGGACAAAAAUUUUUGCGAGCUUCGGUGCACUCAAAAUGUUUUUGAUCUACCAUAAAAUAUACUUCUCAUCACUCAAGGCAAAGGCUAACUCGGUCUUACGGCGUGUUCCCAACCCAUACGCAACAGUAAUUUUUAAUGCAGAAUAAUAACUAGCUACUUAUCUCGAUGUAUAACCGCAUCCUUACUUUGAUAGUCUGUCUUAUGCCCUCGCAUCCAUGAUCACUAUCCCUUUUCUACGUUUUGGUGAUCCCAUUUACCGCCCCAUUACACCACUUACCUCGCCUCGACUAUGAAUAUCAUUAUAAAGAAAAACAAUAAAUAAAAUAAACAAACUGAAUAAA
rnacentral:sRNA from 1 species